AUGGGAACCCCCCGCCUCGCGCUCCACCUCCUGCUCCUCUCCAGCGUGCUCCUCUUCGAUGCCCUCCUCGCCACGCCUGCGGAGGGCCUUGUCCGCGUCGCGCUGAAGAAGCGUCCGGUUGACGACGCCCAGCUACUCGUCGCUCUCGGCGGCAACGCCGAGGCAAAGGGCCACGUCGUGGCACUGAAGAACUACCACAACGCUCAGUACCACGGCGAGAUCGGCAUCGGAACGCCGCCGCAGAACUUCACCGUCAUCUUCGACACAGGCAGCUCCAACCUCUGGGUGCCCUCCUCCAAGUGCUUCCUCUCGAUUGCUUGCUACUUCCACGCGAGCUACAAGGCCAAGCGGUCGAGCACGUACAAGAAGAAUGGAAAAAUGGUUGCAAUUCAAUAUGGAACUGGUGCAAUUUCUAGAUAUGUUAGCCAGGACAAUGUGCAAGUUGGUGGUGUAGUUGUGAAAAAUCAGGAUUUUAUUGAAGCUACCAGGGAACCAAGUAUUACUUUUAUGGUUGCAAAAUUUGAUGGCAUUCUUGGUCUUGGGUUUAAAGAAAUCUCAAAAGGUGAUGUUGUACCUGUCUGGUAUAACAUGGUUAGCCAAGGUCUAGUUGGUAGCCCUAUUUUCACAUUCUGGUUGAACAGACAUGCCGGUGAAGGGCAAGGGGGAGAAAUUGUGUUUGGAGGAAUUGAUCCUAAUCAUCAUAAUGGAGAUCAUACAUACGUCCCUGUUACUAGGAAGGGAUACUGGCAGUUUGAUAUGGGUGAUGUCUUGAUUGGAGGAAAUUCCACAGGAUUAUGUGCGUCUCGCUGUGCAGCUAUAGCAGAUUCGGGAACUUCAUUGCUUUCUGGUCCCACAGCCAUAAUUACUCAAAUAAAUGAAAAGAUCGGUGCACCUGGGGUAGUCAGCCAAGAGUGCAAGGCUGUUGUUUCUCAGUAUGGGCAGCGGAUCCUAGAUCUGCUGUUAAAGGAGAUCGAGCCAUCAAAAAUAUGCUCUUUAGUCGGUCUAUGUACUCCCAAUGGAACACAAGGUGUAAGGGCUGGUAUUCGAAGUGUGCUAGAUCAUGAAGUUGGGAGAUCAAAUGAUGUCAUGUGCCAUGCUUGUGAGAUGGCUGUUGUAUGGAUGACGAACCAACUUGCAAAGAAUCAAACUCAGGAUCUUAUAUUCAAGUACAUUAAUCAGCUAUGUGACCGUAUUCCUAGCCCUAUGGGAGAAUCAUCUGUGGACUGCAGCAGACUUGCGUCCAUGCCUGACGUCGCCUUCUCCAUCGGGGGCAAACAGUUUGUGCUGACACCAGAACAAUAUAUCCUGAAGAUCGGUGAGGGAGAUGCUACCCAGUGCAUCAGCGGAUUCACGGCCAUGGACAUUCCUCGUCCCCGUGGCCCUCUCUGGAUCCUAUAUUCAUGGGAGCCUACCAUACCGUCUUCGACUAUGGCAACAUGA
rnacentral:rRNA from 1 species